GUCUGAGGCCACACCACCCCAAAGGCACCCCGUCUCGCCUGAUCUCAGAAGCAAAGCUGGGUCGGGCCUGGCCAGGAAUUGGGAGACCACAUGGGAGCAGAAGAGGCAGGGG
rnacentral:rRNA from 1 species